ACGGAAGGCAGCAGUAGGGAAUUUUCGGCAAUGGGCGCAAGCCUGACCGAGCAACGCCGCGUGAGUGAAGAAGGUUUUCGGAUUGUAAAACUCUGUUGUAAGGGAAGAAAAACAGGGGAGAACCCCUGGUCGACGGUACCUUACCAGAAAGCCACGGCUAACUACGUGCCAGCAGCCGCGGUAAUACGUAGGUGGCGAGCGUUAUCCGGAAUUAUUGGGCGUAAAGGGUGCGUAGGCGGCCUGUUAAGUCUAAGGUGAAAGCGUGGGGCUCAACCCCAUACAGCCUUAGAUACUGGCAGGCUAGAGUACUGGAGAGGAAAGCGGAAUUCCAUGUGUAGCGGUAAAAUGCGUAGAUAUAUGGAGGAACACCGGUGGCGAAGGCGGCUUUCUAGACAGUAACUGACGCUGAGGCACGAAAGCGUGGGGAGCAAAUAGGAUUAGAUACCCUGGUA
rnacentral:rRNA from 2 species